rnacentral:rRNA from 1 species
AUUGAACGCUGGCGGCAUGCCUAAUACAUGCAAGUCGAACGAGUGGCGGACUGGUGAGUAGUGUCUUGGAAACUGCCCGACGGAGGGGGAUAACUGCUGGAAACGGUAGCUAAUAGUGCUAACCGUCGGUUGGGCCCAGGUGGGAUGAGCUAGCAGGUGGGGUAACGGCUCACCAAGGCGACGAUCCCUAGCUGGCCUGAGAGGAUGACCGGCCACACUGGAACUGAGACACGGUCCAGACUCCUACGGGAGGCAGCAGUGGGGAAUAUUGCACAAUGGGCGCAAGCCUGAUGCAGCCACGCCGCGUGUAUGAAGAAGGCCUUCGGAUUGUAAAGUACUGUUAGCGAGGAGGCGUUACUCACAGAGGAAGCACCGGCUAACUCCGUGCCAGCAGCCGCGGUAAUUC